GUAGUGAGACCUCUACAGUUCAUGACUCAUCAUCGGAAGAGCAAAAGGAAGCAAUUUAGUUUAACUAGAGAGACAGCUCAUCAACAUUGUCAAUGAGGUGUGUCUACCAUAUUUAUCUGGCAUGUUUGUUUUCUUUCAGGAAAAUAAACCAGAAACUUGGAGAUGCAUGCAGCAGAGGAAUACCAGACUUGAGUCCAUGGGAGCCUUCCCAAGAUAGUUCUAUAGAGAUCCCCGGAACCAGUGUUCCUGACCCUUGAAGUCAUAGCAUCUACAGUCACCAAAAGAAAGGAGGCAACUAACAUGGUUUGAUGAAGCAAGAACCCCUUAAGCAACUGCCAGGUGAUCCAGCAUUGAAGACACCUGGGUUGAUGCAUUCAAAGAACACUAAGGUCAGGAUUUCUGGGUUUUCUUAGGAUCCCUAUGGUAUUUCAG
rnacentral:lncRNA from 1 species